rnacentral:rRNA from 1 species
UACAGAGGGGGCGAGCGUUAUUCGGAAUUAUUGGGCGUAAAGCGCGUGUAGGCGGUCCGGUAAGUCCGCUGUGAAAGUCGGGGGCUCAACCCUCGAAUGCCGGUGGAUACUGUCGGGCUAGAGUGCGGAAGAGGCGAGUGGAAUUCCUGGUGUAGCGGUGAAAUGCGCAGAUAUCAGGAGGAACACCGAUUGCGAAGGCAGCUCGCUGGGACGUAACUGACGCUGGAGAACGCGAAAGCGUGGGGAGCAAACAGG